AUUGAACGCUGGCGGCAUGCCUAACACAUGCAAGUCGAACGGCAGCACAGUGUGUAGCAACACACAUGGGUGGCGAGUGGCGGACGGGUGCGUAAUGUGUAGGGAUCUGCCCUGAAGUGGGGGACAACCCGGGGAAACUCGGGCUAAUACCGCAUAAUACUCUACGGAGGAAAUCUGGCUGCGCAAGCAGCUGGUGCUUUAGGAUGAACCUACAUCCGAUUAGCUAGUUGGUGAGGUAAUGGCUCACCAAGGCAAUGAUCGGUAGCUGGUCUGAGAGGAUGACCAGCCACACUGGGACUGAGACACGGCCCAGACUCCUACGGGAGGCAGCAGUGGGGAAUAUUGGACAAUGGGGGAAACCCUGAUCCAGCAAUGCCGCGU
rnacentral:rRNA from 1 species